rnacentral:lncRNA from 1 species
UAAAGAUAUUCAACACUUUAUUAUAAAACGGGCUUUAUGUUAGAUGAUUUUCCCCACUAUGGGCUAAUAUGUUCUGACCAUGCUUAAGGUAGGUCAGGGUAAGCUAUGACGUCUGGUAGUUUAGGUGUAUUAAAUUCAGUUUUGCUUAUAUUUUCAAUGUAUGUCGGGUUUAUCAGGACAUAACCCCAUUGUAAGUCAAGGAGUAUUUUUAUUCUGUUUCUUUCUCCACAGUUACUAGAUACCAGAUGGCUCCAUGAACCAAGUUAGAUCGUGAAAGUCAACAAAAGUUACUCCAAGGACUUUAGUUGGAGCUGUGCAGGAAGAAAAAAAAUCACACUUUUUCACAGGACUGGGUGCUUAAGUAUUGUGGAGAAUGGAAUGAGGACACAGCAAGAAGACCCUCGCCAGAUGUCAGUACCUUGAUCUUGGACUUCUAAGCCUCCUGAACUGUGAGCCAAUAAAUUCCUAUUUAUUGUAAAUUACCCAGUCUCAGGCACUCUGUUAGUAAAGCACAAAACCGAGUAAGACAGACAUGAGUGACAAUUCAGAGUCUUUUUGAAUUUGCCCAAGCCCUUGAUCAUUCAGGCUUAGAUUGUGAGCAGUCCUUUUCCUUUCUCCCAUCCCCUA